rnacentral:rRNA from 1 species
GACGAACGCUGGCGGCGUGCUUAACACAUGCAAGUCGAACGGAAAGGCCCUGCUUUUGUCGGGUGCUCGAGUGGCGAACGGGUAAGUAACACGUGAGUAACCUGCCCUUGACUUUGGGAUAACUUCAGCAAACUGAGGCUCAUACCGGAUCGGAGCUCCUGCUGCAUGGUGGGGGUUGGAAAGUUUCGGCGGGUGGGGAUGGACUCUCGGCUUAUCGGCUUGUUGGUGGGGGAGUGGAUUACCAAGGCUUUGGCGGGUAGCCGGCCUGGGAGGGUGACCGGCCACAUUGGUACUGCGGUAGGGCCCAGACUCCUACUGGAGGCAGUAGUGGGGAACAUUGCACAAUGGGCGGAAGCCUGAUGCGGCGACGCCGCGUGCGUGAUGAGGGCCUGCGGGUUGUAAACCGCUGUCGGCUGUGACCAAGCGUGAGUGACGGUACUGGGUAAAGAAGCACCGGCUAACUACGUG